UGAAUCCCUCCCGAGUUCCCAGGGGAAGCGGAGCCGCGGGCCGUCGGCUGCGAUUCCCAGAAAACGCCCAGCCCCCGCGCAGGAGCUCGCUGACACCCCGACUCUGGGAGGCUGCUGUUUCACAACGGAUCAGUCUCAGGUUGUUUCCGGCUUGCUGGGCUUCGGCUCUUUAACGUGGAGUUCUGCGGCUGGGCCGGAGCGAUUUGCAUAUAAAGCGAAGCGAGCCCCGGGCGACGUCUGGAGUCGAGGAGCCGAAGAAAAGGCCAGCGACUGAGUUUUAGUGCUCCUGAGGGGGUCGUGCCCGAGCGUGGCGCUCAGCGGUCUGCCAGGCCGGAGGAGCAAGAGAGUGAAGAGUCAGCAGGAGCUCCGGGCUCUCCAGGAGACAAGCUGCCAGCUCAACACACCCGUUUCCCUGAUGUGCGCGGUCCUGGGGCUGCCUCACUGCACUUCCCAGAUUGCACUGCGGGCUGGCGUGACAUCACAGGCUUUUUGUAGCGGUCGUUGUGCUUCUGGCCGCCCUGUGCGGUGAGGUCGCAUCAGGAGUCAGGCAGGACCGAGGAGGCGCGCUGCCCGAUGUGACUGGGACACCCCGACAGUUCUCGCCGUUCCUGCAGCGUGUCCCUCCCCCGUCACAGGCCAUCAACCACAUGGCUGGGCAGCCUGUUCCACACUC